UCUGCUUAAACCCAAUAUUUUCGUCUAAUUUCUGAUUCAAUUUCUCCCUUCCUGAACCCUAAAAUCAGUUCCCUCAUCAGUUCCCCUUUCAUUCCAUCCGCUUUCUCCCUCGCAGGUAUGCAAUCUUCCUUUCUUCCUUCUUCUAUUUCCUAUUGUCAUUCAUUUCUUUCAUUUCUCCUUUGGAUUGCCCGUGUUUCCUUUUCCUUUCAGAUUCGCAGUCGGUGGACGAAGCUGCAACGGGGGUUUUGCGGACCGGCAGACAACGGAGCUCAUAACGUCACGAAGGUACAUCGUUCUACAACUCUUUGUGCUUUUAUUUGGUGCAGCGUUUUAUUGAGUUCAUUCUGCAUCACUUUAGUGGGUUAUCUUCUUCCCAGUCUCAAUUGGUGCAGCGUUUUCAUCAACGAGUAUGAAAUUGCUUCUCAGGUCUUUGUAGAUAGCUUUGGCUCUGUCCUGAUAUGGUCCAUUCUCUAAAAAAUUCAUAAAAAGGUAUGAAUGAUAAAAAUUAAAGCAUGUUAUUACUGAGUAUGAAUUUAUGAUAAUUGAUAUGGAGUGUUUACAAGAGGAGCAUAUAUUUUUAGUUUUGAAAUGUGGCUAAAAAGUGGUAGUGCGAGUGAAUGAACGAACCAAUGAAUGAAUAUACAAGGAAGCCAUCAUCGUCACUGUGAGGAACCAAAAGCAACGCAUUAUUCAUAGUUUUCUUUAUGUAUGUAUGUACCUUUUUAUAUCCUCCAUAUAUGUCAAUCUUAUUAGACUUGCAGACUAUAUAUAUAUAUAUAUAUAUAUAUAUAUAUAUAUAUAUAUAUACAUCUCAGUUCUCACCUUUUGGGUUUUCUUCUUAAGUUCCUACUUUCAAUGGUUCAAUUAUAUGUACUCGCUGGCCGCUCUAGAAAUUCAAUGCCCCGAGUUGUUAAUUGUUUGAAGCCAUAGAAUAGGUAGUGAGUCAAUUCUGUACAUCUUCUAUGACACCUUCCACAUUAUUAUGGUCUUCUACAUGUGUCUCUCAUAUUCAUGCUCAUUAAUGAUUUCGUAGACACAUUUUCAUUUAACAUUUUUUCUUUCAACUUGACACUUUUUACUGCUUUACUGUCUACUUGUAUAUCUGCUCUGGAUGCAGAAGAAUCAUAUGGCCCUUCAUGCUUCAUCUAUCAUCUGUGCGCUUCAGAUCACUGACAAGUUUUUUUAGGAUUUUUCCCUUUAAGACUGUAGCCAACUGCUGAUAUUUUGUUUGAUUGAUGAUAUGGACCCAAUGUCACUCAUUUGUCAUUAAGGGCAAAAUUGUCUUUGCAGUGUGUGAAAACUGAUUGAAAAUUGAGUUCCUUUUUCGUUCCGUUGUUCAUUCCUUUGAUUUGCAUGGUCGAGAGGGAGAGAGCGAGCGAUAAAGAAUAAAGAAAAAGAGAACUCCAUGGUUGGCACAGGGACUUAAUCGUUAUCAGCGAAGUGAGAAGCAUCAGAGGUUUGUCCUCACUGUAAUCCUUCCUUCUUUUUAAUUUCUCUGUCUUUGGUUUUCUUUUUUAUUCUUGUUCGAAAGCCCUAGAAAAAAGGGGGCAAGGGUGUGUGACAGAGAGUUAUGUUUUCGGAUUCAGUUUGGAAAACACCAAAUGUUGUAUUUCAUUCGUCUCUGUAUGAGGAUUGACAUUAGUUUUUAUGGAAGGGGGUCAACUUUUUAUUGGGUUAAUUGAAUAAAAUUAAUUUGUUGCUUAGUACAUAGAACCAACAGAUUCAUUAUUUUUCAUGUCAAGUUACCGAGGCAGGAGCACAUACAUUUUUAUGCAUUAUUGUGGCUAGGUUCUUCAGGUUUUAAAUUUCGCAGGCAUGUGUAUGGUGCAUUUUCGUUAUCUUUACUUUCUGUUGUCUAUGUUGUUGAGUUUCAUACUGUUAAUGACAUUUGAUUUAAAUGUUGCUGAGGAUGAUGCACAUUUUCUGCAAGGAGUUCCAUGUGAUUUUAUCUUUAAAUUUAUGUAAGAUAAAUCUUUGUAAACCCUUUUUCCUCUACAACAAAUUUGAUGUCUUUCU
rnacentral:lncRNA from 1 species